GCGCCGGUGGUGUAAGGCGAACAUCGCUGCCCGGAAAGCAGAAGAUGCGGGUUCGAGUCCCGCCUGGCGCA
rfam:Heligmosomoides polygyrus genome assembly, scaffold: HPBE_scaffold0003350